rnacentral:tRNA from 1 species
GGCAGCAGUCGCAAGCAACGGACUCUUAAUCCGUAGGUCGAGUGUUCGAGUCACUCAGGGCCCACCA